UACGUAGGGUGCAGGCGUUAAUCGGAAUUACUGGGCGUAAAGCGUGCGCAGGCGGUCUUUUAAGUCAGAUGUGAAAUCCCCGGGCUUAACCUGGGACUGCGUUUGAAACUGAAAGGCUAGAGUGUGGGCAGAGGGGGGUGGAAUUCCACGGUGUAAGCAGUGGAAAUGCGUAGAGAUCCGGAGGAAGACCGGUGGACGAAGGCGGUCUGCUGGGC
rnacentral:rRNA from 1 species